rnacentral:rRNA from 1 species
UGAGGGAUAUUGGUCAAUGGGCGCAAGCCUGAACCAGCGACGCCGCGUGGGUGAAGAAGGUCUUCGGAUCGUAAAGCCCUUUUCCCACUGAAGAGGAAGGACGGUAGGUGGGGAAGAAGUCUCGGCUAACUACGUGCCAGCAGCCGCGGUAAAACGUAGGAGACAAGCGUUAUCCGGAGUUACUGGGCGUAAAGGGCGCGCAGGUGGCGUCUUAAGUCUGUUGUGAAAGCGCCUGGCUUAACCGGGCGAGGCCAAUGGAGACUGAGAGGCUGGAGGACGGCGGAGGGGUGUGGAAUUCCGGGUGUAGUGGUGAAAUGCGUAGAGAUCCGGAGGAACACCAGAGGCGAAGGCGGCACUCUAAGCCGUACCUGACACUGAGACGCGACAGCACGGGGAGCAAAC